UCCGAAUUGGUGUAGUGGCUAACAUUUGACGCUCUCAAUAUGGAAGACUCUGGUCAUCUGUGCAGUACCGUCAAGCCCGGGGUUCGAUUCCCCGAUUCGGAG